rnacentral:sRNA from 1 species
UUUUCAUCUUGCUGGUGAUUGCCGCCUCUGCUGUUUUGUUCCCGAACAUUGGAACUAUAGUAUUUGACUAUCAGCACAUAAUAUUGGCAGUUCUAUAUUGCUUGUUUGGUUUGUGUAUUUUUUUGUGCUUUUUUUCCUACAAACCUGGAGAACAUUUACGAGAACCGAGCGGGAAAAAAAAAUCAGACCAGAGUUCUCUUAAAUCCAACUUUGGUGAAGAUAGUCAAAGUGAACAUCUUUUGGCACCAACACAGUUUACUGGAGAUGGCCAUAGACAAAUAGGAAACUGGAAAAGAAAGGAGAAAAUAAAAUCUGGUCUAUUUACAAUAGACUACAGAACUGAUUACAAAUAUAUUGUUGCAAGACAAUGCAUUAUAAAAGAAACGGAUCUAAAGAAAUGCUUUUAUGCUGAAACUGAUGAGCUAAAAAUACUAUCUCAUAAAUAUAUAGCAAAAUAUUACGAUUUCCGAUUUGAAGAAUAUGUAUCUUUGAUCUUCAUGGAAUCUUUGCC